UAAUACGAAGGGUGCUAGCGUUGUUCGGAAUCACUGGGCGUAAAGCGCGCGUAGGCGGCUUAGCAAGUCAGGGGUGAAAUCCCACAGCUUAACUGUGGAACUGCCUUUGAAACUGCUAAGCUGGAGUGUCGGAGGGGAUGGCGGAAUUGCUAAUGUAGAGGUGAAAUUCGUAGAUAUUAGCAGGAACACCGGUGGCGAAGGCGGCCAUCUGGACGACAACUGACGCUGAGGCGCGAAAGCGUGGGGAUCAAACAGG
rnacentral:rRNA from 1 species